rnacentral:rRNA from 1 species
UACGUAGGGUGCGAGCGUUAAUCGGAAUUACUGGGCGUAAAGCGUGCGCAGGCGGUUUUGUAAGCCAGAUGUGAAAUCCCCGGGCUCAACCUGGGACCUGCAUUUGUGACUGCAUCGCUAGAGUACGGUAGAGGGGGAUGGAAUUCCGCGUGUAGCAGUGAAAUGCGUAGAUAUGCGGAGGAACACCGAUGGCGAAGGCAAUCCCCUGGACCUGUACUGACGCUCAUGCACGAAAGCGUGGGGAGCAAACAGG